GGGAAGUCCUUUAGCAUUUGUCAUCUUAUACCAAUGACAGCAUGUCAGAAGCCUGGAUUUGGGAGCACAAGCUCCUACUCUUCUUUCAAAGCCUUGCAGAACUGUGGAGCUCUCUGGAGGCCUCUCCACAGAGUCCCAGGGAGUCAUUCCAAGCUAGUUAUUCCUACAGCAAGUGUUUCUUAAAAUGCUGUUCUCAUUCCUAUUCUUUAGAAUAAUCUGGGUGAUCUUGUUAAGCCUGCACUCCAUCACAGAUCUGCUAAGUCAGAGUCUUUGGACAUAUGGCCCUGGGGUAUUCCAUUUCUAACCCACUCCUUAGUUGAUUCUUACACACACUGACGUUUGAGAAUUACUGCUAUGGCCCUUUGUACCAUCAUUAGCUUAAAUCUUGAAGUUUCAUGUACAUGUCUUAUUAUUUCCAUUAGACUGAAUAUCUUGCAAACAGGAGCCAUAUAUGAAUAGCCAUAUUCUCCAAACUGGGUACAAUUCCUGGAACAUAGUAGAUUUUUGCUAAGAGUUCUCACAACUGUAAGAGUUCCCUAUAUAUGACCAUAUCCAGAUGAAUAUGUUGGUUGAACCCAAACAACAUAUUCUAUUUCUCUAUUGCCGUAUAACUACUUACCACAGAAACUGGCACAGUGUCACUUCCAAUUAAUUCCAUUGGUCAAACAGUCAUAGAGCAUGUCCAGAUUCAAGGCUUGGGGGACAAAGACCCCACCUCUCAUUGAAGGAACAUUGAAUUUUUGGCCAUCUUUAAUCUACCACACAGUCCCUGCCAAAGUCUAUUAAAAACAGACUGGGUAUAAUUCUUUAAUCUGACUUUAUGAGCAUUUCAAAGAGGCAAAUAAACCAAUCAUGUUUUGUGGCCUAGGAAAUAGAGUUCAGAAGACAUGAGACAAGGUAUUUAAAAAGAAAGAAAGAAAAAUCCAAAGAUAUUUCUAGUGCCUAUGGCCCUUUAUAGUUUAGUCCAAUUAAAUUGGUCACAGGCCUUUUGAACUACAUUUGAGUCCCAUUGUGGCCUCCAGUAGUUCCUUCCCCAGAAGGUAAAUGGACAUGUCAAUGGUGGUGAAUGAAAUAAUUGAUACCCUUUAUCAGUUUUAAGACAAGGUCAGAAAUUGGAGCUGCGAAAGUUUUAGAAAGUUCUAGGAAUAGGCCCAGGGUAUUUAGCCCAGGAAUCUUCUACUAUAGGAAUACUCUUAGUUUGCCUUCUUGGGGUUUGCAACUCUGGAUGUCUCUUAAUUGCAAAUUCUUUUCUCUCUCUCUCUCUCUCUCCCCCCCACCCUACACACCCCCUUCUCCCCUCCCUUUUUUUUUUUUUUUUUUUUCUAUUCUAUCCACAUGGCUAAAUAAGACACCUGGUCUUUCCCUCACCCAUCCAAUUCUAUGGCCGGACAAAGUACAUGGCCUAGAAAAUUGACAUGAAGUCAACCAAGAUGGUAAACUAUAAGGUAGUCAAAGUAAAGAACUUUAAUUGGUCAACACAGAAACUGAAAUAAGUAGUCCUUGUGAAGCUAGGUUAACAAAUGGCAAUUCAGCUAAAAGCUCUUUUGUUGAGCUUGAGAAUUCUUGACUAAGGGGUAGGAGUCAUAAAGUGCUUUAUGAGUCAUGAGAAGGUCAAAGAUCACCUUUCAACUUUUCAAACUAGCCCUGGCUACUUAUGGUAGCUUUUCUUUUUUCCCUCCACACACCCUCCCCCACCCACCAGUUUCAUCGUCUAUGUCCACUUCACAGUGUAUCUGUAAUGAAUUUGGAUCCAUUUCAAAGAAUACAUAGAAAAUCUUCAGCUCCCAAAGCAGGCUGCUCUGUAGGAGGGAAAGAGUAAGGAAAACACCCUAGGGCAGUUCUUUAUUUCCAAAAGAUUAAAAAUAAUUAAACAUUAAGAUAUUCAACAUGGAUUAUUGCAGACAGUGAUGAAUGGCUCUUCUCCCCGUAAUGAUGCCCUCCUCUAAGCUAAUCUUACCCAACCUCAUUUCAAAGAAAAUGUUGGUUAAUGCUUUAUUUGUUUCAUUCCAUGUACUCUUAAGUAAAUCAGGGUUAUAAUUGCCCUGAAUUCAUAACAACUAACUGCCUCCCUCUUUGCCUUCUUGGAAUAACUGAGUGUGAAAGAAAGAAGAUAUUUUCAGAGGCAUUAGUACUUAUCUGAGAAUUAUCUAUCUACCCAAGUCAGUAAAGCAAAGGCCAGCCACUAUGCCACUGUUGGAAGCCAGAGGUCAAAGCAUGAGUAUCUCCCAGGCAGUGUGUCUAGCACUGUCUCCACCACAAAAUAGGUACUCAAGAAAUAUUGGCUGCCUGUAGAAGCAAUUUGUUUCCUCUUUCAAAGUGGGAAAGUGAAUCCUGUUCAUAGGGACAAAAACUAAGAUAAAGCAGAGGCAAUAUUUUUGCUACUGCUCCCAUAAGAGUACUCAGAUUUCAAAGGAGCUUGUACAUUUAUUCAACAAGUGUUUACUAAGCUCCUACUAUGUGCUAGACUCUGGAUUCCAUUGUUCUAAUGGCAGUGGCAGCAAAUUGUAAAUAAAUAAUUACUCCAUUAGACAGGAGAUAGCAGUUUUGUCUCACUUAGAUAGUGCUUAGAACAUUGAGGUACUCCAGAAAUACUGGUUGAAUGGAUAACAAUACUAAAACAACAACAGCUACAGAUUAUUCAGAGCAUGACACCCCCAAAACUCAUGACCUUUAGUUUUAAUGCAGCAGUCCCUUGGAAGCCCAAGGCAUUUUGAAGGAAUGGUAGGUAUUCUUGGGUCAUUUACUUUCAACUGUAGAAAUGUAACAAAAGCAAGAAUUUUAGCCCUACGUCUUUCUUUCUCUUAAGGUGGUCAUGCAGAGAACUUUUUGCACUGGGAAAGUCAGGAGGUUCAUUUGAAAGAUGACAAUUUACCAAAACCAUGUAGAGGUUUUCCUAAGCUGCCCACCUCGACCUCCCAAACCACUAGAAUUACAGGCAUGAGCCACCGCACCCAACCGUGCUACAAUUUUUCUGUUCCACCUAGUAUAAUGACCUAUACUGGAUAGAAAAAAAGUUAUUGAAUGAAUACAUGAUUGAUCCCAGAGGAGUGACUUGCCAACUCGACAGCUUUAAGGGUUAGUGUAAUACCUAUGGAUGUCUAACUUCCUUAAGGAAAGUGGUGGUGU
rnacentral:lncRNA from 1 species